rnacentral:rRNA from 1 species
CCUACGGGGGGCUACAGUGGGGAAUAUUGGACAAUGGGGGGAACCCUGAUCCAGCCAUGCCGCGUGUGUGAAGAAGGCCCUCGGGUUGUAAAGCACUUUCAGUGAGGAAGAACGCCUGGUGGUUAAUACCCAUCAGGAAAGACAUCACUCACAGAAGAAGCACCGGCUAACUCCGUGCCAGCAGCCGCGGUAAUACGGAGGGUGCGAGCGUUAAUCGGAAUUACUGGGCGUAAAGCGCGCGUAGGUGGCUUGAUAAGCCGGUUGUGAAAGCCCCGGGCUCAACCUGGGAACGGCAUCCGGAACUGUCAAGCUAGAGUGCAGGAGAGGAAGGUAGAAUUCCCGGUGUAGCGGUGAAAUGCGUAGAGAUCGGGAGGAAUACCAGUGGCGAAGGCGGCCUUCUGGACUGACACUGACACUGAGGUGCGAAAGCGUGGGUAGCAAACAGGAUUAGAUACCCCUGUAGUC